UUCUUUUUCAUCAAUAUAGUUCUGUGUCCAACGAUCCCUUUCCUCCUCACCUCGUGAUGGAGUGCUAAGGUCGAUCAUUGCGACGUCCAUCGACUACCUCAGCGGAGCCAUUACUGCACUUCCAUUAAUGUCUUUCAUCCCGGUCGACAGAACUAAGAGUAACCCUAGAACCUUUGCUGAACGGCCUACUUUGAGCUCGCCCCGAGACACCGCUUGGGUUGAACGGGGUUUGAUUAGCUUGGUAGGUCGAAAGGUCCAAUGGGAGACGUCUUAUUCCCAAGCUUGGUGCGAAUCCUCGUCGAGGAAUGAUUAUUGGGCAAAACCAAGGCUGUAGUCUACAAAC
rnacentral:sRNA from 1 species